UCACUUAGCAUCACCAUGCUUCACUUAGCAUCACCAGGCUUCACUUAGCAUCACCAGGCUUCACUUAGCAUCGCCAGGCUAGCUUCACUUAGCAUCACCAGGCUUCACUUAGCAUCGCCAGGCUUCACUUAGAAUCAACAGGCUAGCUUCACUUAGCAUCACCAGGCUUCACUUAGCAUCACCAGGCUAGCUUCACUUAGCAUCACCACGCUUCACUUAGCAUCGCCAGGCUUCACUUAGCAUCGCCAGGCUUCACUUAGCAUCGCCAGGCUUCACUUAGCAUCACCAGGCUUCACUUAGCACCACCAGGCUUCACAAGUCAUAACUAUGCAUCCUCAA